rnacentral:tRNA from 1 species
GGGUUAUUAGCUCAGCUGGUAGAGCACCUGACUCUUAAUCAGGGUGUCCGGGGUUCGAGCCCCCGAUGACCCACCA